rnacentral:rRNA from 1 species
GAAAGUAAGAGAAGGGCAGACGGUGGAUGCCUUGGCUCUCGGAGGCGAAGAAGGACGUGAUAAGCUGCGAAAAGCCUGGGGGAGGUGCAAAUAACCUUUGAUCCCCGGAUAUCCGAAUGGGGCAACCCGCCGUGCUUAGGCACGGCACACAGCAUGUCUGUGGGCGAACGUGGGGAACUGAAACAUCUAAGUACCCAUAGGAGAAGAAAACAAAAGUGAUUGCGCAAGUAGCGGCGAGCGAACGCGUAUUAGCCCAAACCGCAUCUGUUUCGGCAGAUACGGGGUUGUAGGAUCAUCAAAGAAAGGAGAGGAAAGUUGUAAAGUGGAACCCAUUGGAAAGUGGGGCCAUAGCGGGUGACAGCCCCUUACACGACUUGCAGCUUCCCUCCGAGAUGACUCCUGAGUAGCGCGGGACACGUGAAAUCCUGUGUGAAUCCGCGGGGCCCAUCCCGCAAGGCUAAAUACUCCCGAGAGACCGAUAGUGAACCAGUACCGUGAGGGAAAGGUGAAAAGCACCUCGCAUAGAGGAGUGAAAUAGACCCUGAACCCGUCUGCCUACAAGCGGUCGGAGCAUUUCUCAAGAGAUGUGACGGCGUGCCUUUUGCAUAAUGAACCUACGAGUUACCGUCUGCGGCAAGGUUAAGGGUCAUCGAGUCCCGUAGCCGAAGCGAAAGCGAGUCUGAACAGGGCGCCAUCGAGUCGCAGGUGGUAGACGCGAAACCAAGUGAUCUACCCUUGGUCAGGCUGAAGGUUGGGUAACACCACCUGGAGGGCCGAAUGGUUAUACGUUGAAAAGUGUUCCAAUGAACUGAGGGUAGGGGUGAAAGGCUAAUCAAACUUGGAGAUAGCUCGUACUCCCCGAAAUGCAUUUAGGUGCAGCCUUUGUUGUUUCUCACGUGAGGUAGAGCGACUGAUUGGAUGCGAGGGCUUCACCGCCUAUCAAGUCCAGAUAAACUCCGAAUGCACGUGAGUUAAAGACAAGGAGUGAGGGCGCGGGUGCUAAGGUCCGCGUCCGAGAGGAGAAGAAUCCAGACCACCGGCUAAGGUCCCCAAAUAGACACUAAGUUGGAUUAACGAAGUCAGACUGCAGAGACAGCUAGGAUGUUGGCUUGGAAGCAGCCAUUCAUUUAAAGAGUGCGUAACAGCUCACUAGUCGAGGAGUUUGGCAUGGAUAAUACACGGGCAUAAGUGUUUUACCGAAGCCGUGGGAUCCGUAAGGAUCGGUAGGGGAGCAUUCCAUGUGCGUAGAAGAUAGGGGUUGACCCCUGUUGGAGGGUAUGGAAAAGCAAAUGUAGGUAUAAGUAACGAUAAUGAGGGCGAGAAACCCUCACGCCGAAAGACCAAGGUUUCCUGAUCAACGCUAAUCGGAUCAGGGUUAGUCGGGUCCUAAGGUUCAGCCUUUCAGGCGAGACCGAUGGUUGAAAGGGUUAAUAUUCCCUUACUGCCAGGGUGAGCGAUGUGGUGACGGAGAAGUGGCAGUCCUGCCGUCUGACGGAAUAGACGGUUAAAGGGUGUAGAAGUAGAUAAGGGUAGGCAAAUCCGCCCUUAGAUUCGAACCUGACAGUAUGCAGCGUACGCAAGUAUAAAGCAACAUGGACGUAAUCAGGCUCCCGAGAAAACCCGCUAAGCAUAUGACCCAUGGCACCCGUACUGUAAACGGACACACGUGGUCGGGUUGAGAAUACUAAGGCGCUCGAGUGAUUCACGGUUAAGGAACUAGGCAAAAUGGUCCUGUAACUUCGGGAUAAAGGACGCCAACGGUGACGUUGGCCGCAGCGAAUAGGCCCAGGCGACUGUUUAACAAAAACACAUGGCUAUGCAAAAUCGAAAGAUGAGGUAUAUGGCCUGACACCUGCCCGGUGCCGGAAGGUUAAGAGGAGAGCUAAUCGCAAGAGAAGGUUUGAAUUGAAGCCCCGGUAAACGGCGGCCGUAACUAUAACGGUCCUAAGGUAGCGAAAUUCCUUGUCGGGUAAGUUCCGACCUGCACGAAUGGUGUAACGAUCUGGGCACUGUCUCAACCGUGAGCUCGGUGAAAUUGUAGUAUCGGUGAAGAUGCCGAUUUCCCGCGAUGGGACGAAAAGACCCCGUGAACCUUUACUAUAGCUUUACAUUGCGUUUGGGCCAAUGAUGUGUAGGAUAGGCCGGAGACAUUGAAGUGUGUACGCCAGUAUGCAUGGAGUCGUUGUUGAAAUACGGCCCUUUAUUUGUUUGAGCGCUAACGUCUUGUAAUAGAAGGACAGUGUAUGGUGGGUAGUUUGACUGGGGUGGUCGCCUCCAAAAGUGUAACGGAGGCUUCUAAAGGUGCGUUCAGGCCGAUUGGUAACCGGUCGUAGAGUGUAAUGGCAUAAUCGCGCUUGACUGGGAGAGAGACAACUCGAUCAGGUAGGAAACUAGAGCAUAGUGAUCCGGUGGUUCCGUAUGGAAGGGCCAUCGCUCAAAGGAUAAAAGGUACUCCGGGGAUAACAGGCUGAUCGCUCCCAAGAGCUCAUAUCGACGGAGCGGUUUGGCACCUCGAUGUCGGCUCGUCACAUCCUGGGGCUGGAGAAUGUCCCAAGGGUUGGGCUGUUCGCCCAUUAAAGUGGCACGCGAGCUGGGUUCAGAACGUCGUGAGACAGUUCGGUCUCUAUCUAUCGUGGGCGCAGGAUAUUUGCGGGGCUCUGACACUAGUACGAGAGGACCGUGUUGGACAGACCUCUGGUUUACCGGUUGUACCGCCAGGUGCACCGCCGGGUAGCUAAGUCUGGCAGGGAUAAGUGCUGAAAGCAUCUAAGUACGAAGCCCUCCCCAAGAUUAGAUAUCCCUUGAAGGGUGGUUAUAGACGAUGACCUUGAUAGGCUGCAGGUGUAAGGGCAGUAAUGUCCGAGCCGAGCAGUACUAAUAGCCCGUGACUUUCUUUG